CAAUUAUGUGCUGGUUGCCAAACGAUGUCACAAAACCAGUUUGGUAAGCAAUAGUUUUGAGAUGAUAUUACACUUUUAAUUGAAGGAAAACGUGCUUCCGUCAAUGACAAAUACACAAAAUUGGUGAAUUAGCUUUGAUAGUGUUACAUGUACAACAAUUCUUUUUGAUCAGAUUAAUGGAUUUGAGGGGGAAAUUAUGAACUAAAAUAAAGACAUGAGUUCCUCUAUUUUCUCCUGGUAUUAGAUAAUUAAAGAUAGAAUUGCAGAUGUUUUAUAAUGUGAUAUGAAAACAGUAUUCUGACCUCCAGCAAUAAUGAUCUGUGAUUAGGUUUUGUCAAACAGUAUGAAUUAAUGUUUCUUUUUAGUACAUAUAAAAAAUAACCCCACAACAACAAAAGAAGACUGAGAUACCACAAUUUCUAUUUUACAAUAUCAAUCAUUAGAUGAUUUUUUUUUCAUUCCAUUCACAACUAUAUGUCCCCAUUCAAAUGCAUUGAUCCCCCCAAAUCGUCCCCCUGGAUCCUGUUGCUUAACUAUGUGCUUACUUCUAUCCACCCUAGUUAAUGUAAACAAGUAACUUUUGGUAUAGCACAUUCAGCUUUUGGUUUGAACCAAAACAGCUCUGAGUCAUGUCUGUACAUUAGGAUUGUCACCAUUAAACUAUAUCUCAUACUAUUUAGCAACA
rnacentral:lncRNA from 1 species